AAUAAGAUUAAAUUUUGUAACAGAUCAAUGAGAUCCAGAGCAGACAUUCUUAAAGACAACUAAGAAAACAAAAAUCAUAUGUAGAAUCUUUCAAUAUUACAAAUGAAAAAUCAAGAUUUCCUUAUUGCUCAUCUACCGGUUUGAAUCCUUAACAAAUCGCAAACCAAAGCUAUUAUGGAAACCACAAAGUAGUACUCCAGCUUUCGCCUUCUCGGGCUUUUCCUUCAAGCUGUGUCCAAUUCCAUUCAUUCUCCUCCUCCUCCACAAUCUUGCCUUUAAAAAUUCACUCCAAGGGUUAACCAUAGAAGAGCGACAAUGAGUACGAUCGGAGCCCAAGAAAAGAGCGGUGCCGGGGACUGGACAAAUUUUCCUCUGUCUCGGCGGCGGCGACGUUCUUGAUCCUCCAAGAGAUGGCAGUAUCAUGAGAUGGCGUUCAAUAUGAUGGCAAAGUGACACCAAACUCAUAUGAGUCGU
rnacentral:misc_RNA from 1 species